AACGAACGCUGGCGGCAUGCCUAACACAUGCAAGUCGAACGAACCCUUCGGGGUUAGUGGCGCACGGGUGCGUAACGCGUGGGAAUCUGCCCUUUGCUUCGGACUAACUAAGGGAAACUUGUGCUAUUACCGGAUGAUGUCUUCGGACCAAAGAUUUAUUGGCAAGGGAUGAGCCCGCGUAGGAUUAGGUAGUUGGUGGGGUAAAGGAAUACCAAGCCGUCGAUCCUUAAGUUGUUUGAGAGGAUGAUCAGCCACACUGGGACUGAGACACGGCCCAGACUCCUACGGGAGGGAGCAGUGCGGAAUAUUGGACCGUGGGCGCAAGCCUGAUCCAGCAAUGCCGCGUGAGUGAUGAAGGCCCUCGGGUCGUAAAGCUCUUUUACCAGGGAUGAUAAUGACAGUACCUAGAGAAUAAGCUCCGGCUAACUCCGUG
rnacentral:rRNA from 1 species